AGAAGCAAAGACAGGAAGCAGGCAGUCCCGCUCAGGAACAAGGUCAGCAUGCUCAUCGGACGCCGAUCCAGCCGGACCAGAGGGACAAGCAGACAGGGAGCCUCUGAUAGGCCGGAGAAGAACUGCGCGGAGUAAACGUUGACGCCGAACGAGCCAAUGUUCAUACAGAUGCCGAAGUAUGUCAGCGCAGUUACAGCACUGGCCAAUCACGACACAGAUGAGAAUUAUACUCAGCAUGGAGGGACAACAGAUCUGCAGCACAGCACUGAGAGCAUUAUCACAUACUGAAGGAGCAGCUGUUGAUACAGGAGCAGCAAACGCCUGUCAGGCAGCGAACGGCGAGGAAGACGAACGGCUGCGGGAGGACAGCAGGCACCAGGCCGCAUGCCGCCUGCACCGACAAGCACACCAGCAGCAGCGGACGCUUGCCAUACCUGCGCACGUAAACACAAACGUGUAAUGUGAUGGCGCCAUCAGAGAACACCUGCGACACAGCUGAGAAGUCGGCUACAGGGAGAGAGAGAAAACAGCCCAGAAUUCUGUGACUCUGUAUACUUUGGCUGAACUCUGAGGAAAAAAAAGACAGAACAAAUUGCAAUCUUGUGUGAGUUUCUUAAUUAGUGACCCUUUCAGAGAAAACCGAACACGCAAUGGUGAGUUUUGCAAAGGUUUAUUAAUUUGGGCCUCGGGCCCUGGGGAGCAAGCAGUUGGCGCAAAAUCUCCAACAGUAUGGAGAGAUGUUUCGCCAUCUGAACAUUUUGCAUACAACAAUUGAUUGAUUGACACUUCUAUGCUUCAAGAGACUUGUAGACUUUCAUUAAAUCUUUUGUGUAGGCCUAAAUUAAAAGUUGUCAAUCAAAUAUAUCCCCUCAGUCAGUGCAGGUGGGUGGAUUUGGGACACAUUUGUGCGUAACUUGGUAUUUAAGACAAAUUCUGCUUGCUGCCAUGGUACAGAAGCUUUGCUGCAUAGCUUUGCUUGGCAUCAGUUGGCCCAAACUUGCAUACUGCGAUAAAAAGCCAUGAAAACAAAAUUAUAUCGAGGUGAAUGGGACGUCCACCAACCUAUAUUAACGCGCAUGCGCCAGAAUUACAUCACGAUGACGUUUCGCAAACGCUCCCAUAGAGUAGCUAGUAUUAUGACAAGCCAUAGCUGCUAUGUCUGAAUGACUUUGGGUAUGUUCGGUAAUUCAAUCUGACGCUCUCACUGCCAUUCUGUGAAUCCAGUGAUCAGAGAGGCAGAGCGUGCUCAAUUUUCUAUGAAUUUACGAACUAUCAUGUUGGCCAUUUGCAGGAAUACAUCAGUUCCUCCGCCAUAUUGAAUGUGUCAGUUCUGCCUGUAAACAUCCGGCCGCUCUGUCUCCUCAGUCAGAGCGGCAUUGCGAAUAACCGAACAGCACACUGCAACAAUGCAAGGCAGUGGGAGUCACUACUUACUACAGGUCAAACUUUGCUGAUAUCCCAUUUCCACCCACUACAGGAAUCAGAAUGAGAAAAGGUGUCUUUAUUGAUUUUUGGUGAAUAUUUUUGAUAAUUAAUAGCACACAGUUUAACCAAAAUGCAAGAUAGCAGCAAGGUUUGACAUGUAGUAAGUAGUGGACUCCCAUUGCCAACUACUACAGUAAACAGAAUGAAAAAACAAGAACAUCUAUAUGAUAUAUGGUGAUUUGUUACACAUUUUUCACCCUGGG